rnacentral:rRNA from 1 species
AUUGAACGCUGGCGGCAGGCCUAACACAUGCAAGUCGAACGAGUGGCGGACGGGUGAGUAAUGUCUGGGUAACUGCCUGAUGGAGGGGGAUAACUACUGGAAACGAUAGCUAAUACCGCAUACCAUCAGAUGUGCCCAGAUGGGAUUAGCUAGUCGGUGGGGUAACGGCUCACCUCGGCGACGAUCCCUAGCCGGUCGGAGAGGAUGACCAGCCACACUGGAACUGAGACACGGUCCAGACGCCUACGUGAGGAAGCAGUGGGGAAUAUUGCACAAGGGGCGCAAGCCUUAUGCAGCCAUGCCGCGUGUAUGAAGAAGGCCUUCGGGUUGUAAAGUACUUUCAGCGGGGAGGCUUUACCCGCAGAAGAAGCACCGGCUAACUCCGUGCCAGCAGCCGCGGUAAUAC